rnacentral:rRNA from 1 species
GAUGAACGCUGGCGGCGUGCCUAAUACAUGCAAGUCGAGCGAACGGACGAGAAGCUUGCUUCUCUGAUGUUAGCGGCGGACGGGUGAGUAACACGUGGAUAACCUACCUAUAAGACUGGGAUAACUUCGGGAAACCGGAGCUAAUACCGGAUAAUAUUUUGAACCGCAUGGUUCAAAAGUGAAAGACGGUCUUGCUGUCACUUAUAGAUGGAUCCGCGCUGCAUUAGCUAGUUGGUAAGGUAACGGCUUACCAAGGCAACGAUGCAUAGCCGACCUGAGAGGGUGAUCGGCCACACUGGAACUGAGACACGGUCCAGACUCCUACGGGAGGCAGCAGUAGGGAAUAUUCCGCAAUGGGCGAAAGCCUGACGGAGCAACGCCGCGUGAGUGAUGAAGGUCUUCGGAUCGUAAAACUCUGUUAUUAGGGAAGAACAUAUGUGUAAGUAACUGUGCACAUCUUGACGGUACCUAAUGAGAAAGCCACGGCUAACUACGUG